CACGUAGGGGGCGAGCGUUGUCCGGAUUUAUUGGGCGUAAAGAGCUCGUAGGCGGCUGAGUAAGUCGGGUGUGAAAACUCCAGGCUCAACCUGGAGACGCCACCCGAUACUGCUCUGGCUGGAGUCCGGUAGAGGAGCGUGGAAUUCCCAGUGUAGCGGUGAAAUGCAUAGAUAUUGGGAGGAACACCAGUGGCGAAGGCGGCGCUCUGGGCCGGAACUGACGCUGAGGAGCGAAAGCGUGGGUAGCAAACAGG
rnacentral:rRNA from 1 species